rnacentral:SRP_RNA from 1 species
GGGGUGCCCUGUACCCGAAACCCUCUUCACGCGGGGCUGAUCCCCCGCCCGAGGGCGUUCGUUGUUCAGAAAGCAGCGGGAACGCGGCGUUGAAGGCCGGGUCCCAAACGGCGAGAGUUUCGUGAACCGGGUCAGGUCCGAAAGGAAGCAGCCCUAAGCGACGCUUCUCGGGUGUUCUGGGGUCGCUCGACUGGAGUCGCCGACUCGAAGAGCUCUGAGUUUCGACCGUCCGAGGGCGGGGUGCACAC